rnacentral:lncRNA from 1 species
GGUAAUUAUUCAGCCGAAUACGUUGCACGAAACGCGUUGAAGGUGUUAAAUGGUUGCGUGGAAUUAACGUUGAAUUUCGUUUCAUGCGGCUAAAAAAGGCUCAGGUAGAUCCGCAUGAAUGGAGAGAGGGAGAGGAGAGAAGCUUCGAUCCGGGAAGAGAAAUACCGGCCCUAACGUUUACAUGAAAGGUGCGGCCACAGCCUAAUAACCCGAAUGUAACCGGACACACCGCCGAGAGAGAGGGGGCGAGGGCGCCCCCGCGCGCGCAAAGGAGACGGAGAGAGCGCCACGGGGACUGCCAUCGAAAUAAGACUAUCGAGAUUCGGAACUCGUGCGUGCGCUCGAGCGAGCCCCGAUGGAGGACCACGUGGAAUGGACGAUUCCAUCGGUUUGCUUCUGCAUUGGAACCUGAAUCCAGGAGGAAAAAUCCCGACUCCGUACCACGCUCUCUUCCCCCUCUACUUUUAGACUCGCGCUUUAAACAAUGCCCGCGUUAAACCGAAGGUACUUUUUACAAGGAUUCGCAUCUGGAUUCGAGGUUGAGUCGAGGAGAAAAAGUUUGGGUUUCGUGGCACGUGCAAUCGCUCCUGCUCAUUUUUCUCUCUUUCUGGGUCCGUUAUAAAAAAUAUAUCUAAGAAAGGUCGUUACUUCCUUGGGACAGAGUUGCAGAAAUAUCUUGGGUAACAUCUGUAUUUAGAAGUGAAAUCAUUGUUGACCGAUGUAUUUCGCCAUGCUCAAUGUGUAAAGGGAGUAAACGCAGCCACGUUCGUCCUAUUGCCAUUGACAAACGAAUGCACCAUUAUCACGUGAGAGGCUCUAAGUAGUGAAUCACCGCAUCCUUAUUACGUGAGAAUAUCGUUACGUAGCUGGUAACAAAACCAGCGAUUCGUUGUAAUUAUGUAAUUAAGUUCUUUGUGUUAACAGGCUGGGCGUGAUUAAAGGAGGAUAUCACGCAGGCGUAGAUCUCCCAUUAAGCUCUGCGUACCUGUCGACUCAAUGAGAUCCGAUAAGUAAUAUUCUUUUUCCUUCUGGCUUCCAACUUGCCGACUGUAACGUUUGCCGAAGGAACGGCCUGUCCUCGCGGCGAUCGUUCCAAAGUCGAAGCCAAUCCGCGACAAAAGCGGCGUGUCCAAGGUACCCCGGCAUAACGGACGAGGCGGCAAGAUGGCCGUGCCAGAUUCAGGUGAUUCGCACAUCCGAUUAGAAAAAUCGGUUUCCUUAGGGAUGUUGGAAGUAACAUGGACAAACGAGGACCCAGCUACAGAGCUACUUUGUUCUAACGUGGAAGUAUUUCCGUCGAGUAUACACAUGUGGAACGGAAAAGGAAUGUAACUUGACUUUGAUAGAGCGCAGAGUCAUGGCCAGGCGUUUUUUGCCGGAGAUUAUAUUUUAUGCGAGCAUUGAUUCGAUGUAUGUAAUCUCUGUCUUCCAACGUUCCCACGGUCUCCUUGAAUGGACAUUAGCGUUUAAAAUUAACAUGUUCACGGGGCUGUAACAAUCAGGUCGCUGUUCUGUCCAUUUGUAGAGGCUGACGUGAUCGCUUUGUGAUUUCUAUCAUUGGUGUCACAAUGACU